GCGCAGCAAUGAAGACCCAACGCAGCCAAAAAUAGAUAAAUAAAUUUAUUUUAAAAAUAUAAAAAAUAAAGGACGCUAUUCAGAAGAAAAUUACAACAGGUAAAAUGAAAAGGUCAUGUGAAAACAGAAUGCUAAAGGUAUGCGACUUAAUUUCAAAGCAUGAAGACCAUUUCAAACAAAUCUCUAAAUCAGCAAACUUAGUUUUAAUCUUAUAUCUUAUGACCUCUGCUGAGAAAUAAGAUUAUCAGGGUGGAGUAAAAUAAAAUGGUUGCCAUGUUACAUAAUUUAAAGAUUCAAGUCAUACUUGUUAGUAAAUAGCACCUGUGGAGUUCAUACUAGUAAUACAAAUUACAAGAUUUCUUUAAGGCUUUAUCCAAAUACCCCUAUUAAAUGCUGAGCAUUAACAGUGACCCAUCUGUAAGAGCCAAACUCCUCCCAGGUGGCUCUAAGUCCUCUCCUGAUCUGGUCUGAGCUACCUCUGCAGCCUCACCUCCCACCAAUCCCUGCAUAUCAUUUCACUCCCUAAACUUAAAUGUUCACAUUCCCCUUAAUAUUACUUGCCCCAUUUUACGACUUCUUGUCUAGGCAUUUGCGGUUCCCUCAGCCCAACCUGCCCUCCACUCUUCUGAGCUGCAAAUAUGCCCUACUCCCAGAAGCUUUUCCUGAUUGCCCCAAAACCCUCCCACAAAGUGGCCCCCAGGCACUAUUCAUUCUUCUAUUACAAAGAACUGCCAUUAUUUUUAAAUGUCCACUUCCCCAACCAGCUGUGAGUCCUAAAAGGCGGGCCCAUAUCUUAUUUAACUGGUUCCCAGCCCCUAGCAGAUGCUUUGCAUUUACUGACACUCAAUAUAAGGACAUUGAAAAAAAGGAAGUUAAGUGGUUAACGAUGAGAAACAAUUCAAACUUUCCUAUAAAAGAGUAUAUAAAUUUAAGACAGUGGUCUCAACCAGGGCAAUUUUGCCCCUCGGUGACAUUUGGCAAAGUCUUCAGAUAUUUUUGGUUGUCACAAGAUGGGGGAGGGGACUUGGGGGUGCUACUACAUCUAGUGGGUAGAAGCCAGGGAUGCUGCUCAAUAUCCUACAGUGCAAAGGACAGCCCCCGACAACCAAGAAUUAUCCAGUCACAAAUACCAAUAAUUCCAUGGUUAAAAAACUCAGUUGUCAACUGACUUAUUCAUGUGUGAUGAUUCCUUAUCAUACCUCAGCUAUAACCAGAAUAAAUUCCAAUUUUGUGGUUUCAGCUGAAACUUCUGUAGCCAUCGAUGUGUAUGCACCAACACUCAAAAUGAUCUUUAUAUAAUCGUAAUGCUUAACAACAUUAAACCAAGAGUACUGGAAAGCAGUCCAUAUUUCUGAAAACUAAUCUACAACUACUAGAAGCUACUCUUAAGUCAGUAAACACUUUAUUUAUAAACUAUAAAGCAAACCACAGGUGAACUAAUUUUCAGCUGUGGAAUUAUGCGACGGAAACACAAUCUGAGGCAUGAGGUAAUCAGUCAGGUCUGACAAGAGAAAAAAUCUCUAAGUAGUGGAAGUAAAUCACGCUCAGGUGUCUUUAAUGUUGAACACAGGAACUGAUGACCAGAGUAAAGGGCAUGCCCUCGCUACUGCCAAUAUCAGCGCUUAUCAAGAUUUCAAAAAACUCUGACAAAACAUUGCAAAAAAUCAUCAAAUGUCAAUACAGGGUGGAAGAUACAGAAGUUAACUACUUCUCCCCCUGAUAUAUGACCAAGUUCCACAUGACUUGAACAUUUCCCAAAGCUAUGCAGGAGCAAGGACACUCCCUUUCUACACAGUGGAUGACUCAACUGUCUUUGGUACAUUCCUUGACUGCAUGCUACAAGUUCACUAACUCCUCUUGCCCUUGGAACUAGUUAUCCUACUCUCUCAGUAACCAACUAAUGGGUUUGGCACCAACUUUUCAGUCAUUUACAUUUUGUUGCACCCCAUCCGUCUCAAAAGGAAAUUAAGGGAAAAAAAAAAAAGCUAACCAAAACAAAAAAUUGAGUAACAGUGACUCCUAUAGAAAAGAUUUUGUUAUUCUAGGAACUGAUUCCUAAACAAAACACCUACAGCUUUCCAGUGCUCUAAUCUUUGUAUCUUCAGGCUUUUCCAGAUUUGACAUAGAGAGAGCACUGGCAGAAAGUAAAGGAGUGUACCGUUGGAUUAAGCUGACAACGGAUCUAUACUUGCAUGGCUCAAACAAAAAGGUACCGGGCUGGGAGGGGAAAACGCAUUUUUAAAUGGGGGGGUGUGUGGGGUAGGGGAGUUGCCAACAGUGAGUAAUAGCUUCCUUCGCAGCUGACUUUAGCCAGUUAAGUGUCGGUACAGCGACUGGGCCAACGUUAGGCCGGGUUUCACCACAUUACCCUGCAGUGCUGCCCAGAUGAGAUUACGAAUCCGCGUGAGGCAGAAUCUGGAAGGAACGCGCCGGCGCCACACCCUCCCGCCCGGCAGCCCGCUCGCACUGACAGCCCGCGCGGGUACGGGGCCCGGGCCUGUGAGCCGGGGGCCGCGGAGUACCCGGCCUGCUGCCCUGCCGCCGCCCCGCCCGCCCCCUGCCCCCCCGAGGCCCGCCCCCAGAGCAGACGACCGAGGCCUAAUCGCCGCCUGGGCUGCGGGGCCUAAAGGAAGGGGCCGGCGCUGAAGAGGGGGCGGCCACGCCGCCGCCGCCUCUGCUACUCAGAGAGGCGGCGGCUUCCGCGGCCCCGGGCUCCGGCUCUCCCGCUCACGUGCUCCUGAAAGACGGUUUCACUCUCUUACCCUCUGCAAAAUCCUCCUUAACAUGGUUUAAACACCACCCGGCGCCGCCCCGGUGACUCUCCAAACCUUCUGCGGGGCCACUCAGUACUCGGGGGUACGCGGGAGGGAGGGACUGAGCCAGGAAAGGACUGGGAGGAGGUCGGGGCGAGGCUGUAGCGGCGACCGCUCGGGCUGCCCCCACUUCCCCACAGGCGGCGAGAGGGAGCGCGCGCGAGCGAGCAAAGAGGUAGCCAGCAAGCGCCCGCCCGCCCGCCUGCGGGGCCGCCCCCGUAACUGACAGCUGGGCGGACCCGCCCGCCACCGCCCCGCCCUCCCGGCCUGUCCAUCCGCGGGAGGCGGGGCUGGAAGGGGCCUGGCCCGCCCCUGCGGCCAAUCGGAAGCGGCGGCGGCGUGGGCGGUUGCGUGACGGACAGGCGGCAGGACGCUGGCGCCGCCGCUCCUUCCGGCGGGCCGAGGGACAACGCGGGCGCCGAGCGCACGCCUGCGCUCUGUCAGAGGACGCGCCCGCGCGCAGACAGCGUACUCUCUAGGGGAACCUGGAGGGGGUCCCUGACCGCGACGCAAGAAGGGGUCUCUGGGCGGGUACCUGCGACGGCAUCUCAGAUUACUCUGUAAAAUAUGUCACUGUGACCCCGGCCUUGGCCAUUCCUGAACUGGAUCCUCAUUUCUGCUGGAAGCGCUUGGAAGCAAAGGAGAGAAUCGCAGACACGAUUAACUGGUCUGGUGGGCUUUUUUUCUCCCCUGGUCCAACCCCUGGCGCCUUUCCGUACUCCCUUCCUGCUUCUAAUAUCGGCCAAAGGGAAAGUAAAGAAUCGGAAGAAAGGGUAGGAAGAAACUGGAAUUUGAGUUGGUAAGAGAAGUUUGCGGUUGUCAUCUUUGGACUAUAGCAACAAUAAUGGACUGAUGUCGCUAACAUGUUGCACCAUCUAAAGCCCACGCUUGGCCCAUUCUCCUAGGGAAUUUUAAAUCCUCUUCUGACAAUAGAUGUAUGAAGUGAAUCUACCUUAAUGCGUCUGUUUCAUAGAUUAAGAAAAAAUAAUGAGGUCACAGAUAAACAGUGUGCCAAAACAAGGACGUGGACUUGGAAGUGGACUUGGACCUGACUUCCAGGCACGAUGUUAUUAUUUAAACUCAAAAAUCACAGCUGCGGAAUCCUACCAUUCUGCCAGUAUUCACGAGCUAAGAGGUUCAACUUUACCCUGAGCGGGGGAAAGAGAAGCCUUUAAUAAUGUUUAAGUAGGAAAGGAGAGGAGGAGAAUAAUGCAACUAACCUUGCUGGGGGUGGGAGGGGAGGGUGGGGAUCUGAAGUCUAUCAAACAAUGAAUGGAGCGCUUAUCAGAAAAUCCCCACAGAUCUUCUGAAAAAAAUGCAGCAAAUCUUAUUUUCAAAUUACUUAAUGUAAAAGUGUUUUGUAAAAUGUAAAUAAAGCAUUAUAUGAUGUAA